rnacentral:lncRNA from 1 species
UUAUGUAUCAUUUGUGUGUUUCUUUAGGGUCUGCUGUGCAUUUCCCAAUAUAGAAGUAGGCUAUGGUGAGUUGAAGUGACUGUUCUACCUUAAAGGAGUGGUUCAGUACCAGCUAUAGAAAAUCCUGCAGGUGCUUGACAACAAAUUGGGUCUUUCAUACAUUACUUACUUAAUCUCCAUAGCAAUGUUGCAAGUGCCUAAAAAGCAUAAACACACCCUCGAUCUGUGCUGCUUUGCUGAUUAGCUGCCUCCUCCCACAUCGUUGAUAAGAGAGAUUUGUACAACUCCUGUGUGCCAGGCCCUGGUCAAAGCUGAUGGUCUCUCCUCUCCCUCACAGACUGCCUCUAAGCUCUUCAGAUUCAUGAAUUUUAACAAGUCCAUGAGCCAGCUCUCAACCAUGUCAUGAUGUGCCAAAAAAACCUGAUGUUCUUCACUGUUUCCUUGGCAUAUGCCCAGUUGGCAUUCAGUUGGAUGACUUAGGUACCUUCCAGGUAUAUGAAAGUCUGAAACAGUAGUCACAGAACAUGACGUGGAAUGAAUUCAGAAAUUGAACAUGAUUGUCAGCACAUGAAAGGUGCCUCAGGGAGAGUGCAGUGACUGACAAGUGGUGACUGUGAGAUGCACAGGGAACAGAUGGAGCAGCUGGUGCGGUGCAUGAAAGGUCAAGUGCUGGGACUGAAGGUGUCCUGUUGCAGACAGGCCAGUGUCUCAGUGUGACCAUGAGAUUCAGCAGUCAGCCUUGCCCAGGUGUCCUCUCCAGUCUCCAGUGGACCUGGAAGUUGGAGGCAGAAGUGGGGGUGCCAGGAUCCACAUGUGUUACUGUGUGGUCCUGAGUGGAUUUGCCAUAACAAAGCAAUGAACUGGACAGACUCCGCA